AGAAUCAUUUCAAAGUCAGUACCUAUGGGAAUAAAGUCUUGAAAGUGCCACUCUCCUGACCAGUAGGUGUUAGACCCCUCAGGAAUUCAUAAAAGGAAGACAGCAGGGAUGGUUUCCUUUGGUUUGCUUCCUAAACGGAAGUGCCUAAAAGUGUACAAAUGACUGAAAAAUGUUGUUUUCCUAGAACACAUAAGACUUUUUUUUUUAGUCCAUAUUGCAUAAAGACCAUAAUGGGCUUUGUGGCUCCUCCAUAUUCUCCAGGCUUCUACAGCUCAAGGACAGAUGUUCCAGCUACCAAUCUGUCAGCACGUACACACGUUUGACUGAGAGCUUUCCUGGCUCUGCACAGUGCGCUUUGCCCAAGGUGAAAGGUAACCCUCAAUCAAAGGGUUGGAGUUGGAGUGCAACCACCUCAGCUCCUUGAUUCCACGGCUGGGAUCUUUAGAAAGCUAUUGACUGAGCUGCAGAUAAAGUUGUGAGAGCACCCACAGCCAUUUUUAAGUGAUUGUUACCCUUUUCUCCCAGUGCAGCGCCAGGAGCUGAGAGACUCCACUUCUGCUCCAUGCUGGCCCACCCCGAGCCGAGAGCUGCUGGCAGAGGACUACGCUGUUGCUGAUCACAGUGGAGUAAAGAGCACAAAUAAAGGAUUAUGGAAGGACUGGGGCCUGAGUCACCUCAGGGGUCUCACCAUAUAGGGCUGCCUGCCUGACCUGGAACUUAACUAUUUAGAUAAGCCUGGCCACGAACACAGACCAAUCUGCCUGCCUCUGCCUUCUCAAUACUGGGAUUACAGACAUGGCUACCUCAUUCUGCUUGCUGUAUCAGGCAUCCCAAGGAAGUGUCUCCUGUCUCGAUCCUCUGUUUCCAGAAUCACAAUGUGUGAUUUCAGCUGGUUCACUAGAAUCAAAAAGUUGGCAAAUAACCAUAGUAUUUGAGGACCAGAGACUGUUACAUAAUCAUCCUUUGGUGGAGACAAUGAGGUCAUAUGUUUGCCCAUCUAAUUGCUGAUCAGGGACACGUUUGAUUGCAAAUAAUUUCCUCGCUGGCCCACAACUUAAUUACUAAGUGUCUGAAUCGACAAAGCUUUUAGAUGUAGGUCUUGCCUAAUGGUGCAUUUGUUAGAGAUCAUUGCCUUCAUUUGGCCCCUAAAUGAAAGGUCUCGGGGAUAUGACGGACCACUGCCAACACUGCUCCCAAUGACCUCAUAUUGGAAAAUAUGCCAAUUCCCACGGUUUAUUCUCUAGCCAGCAAUGGGCUUUAUUGUUUAUGUCCAGGGCCAAAGAGAAUGAGCGCCUCGGAAUGUCAGAUAUUGGUAAAACCUCUGGUGGAAGCACAAUUUUGGGGAAACUUGGUGUUACUCAACCUAGAGAAAAAGGUUUCUCAUUCCCAGUGUCACAAGGAAACUCGGUUGAGAGAAGUCGAGCAGGCAUGUGCAGCCUUUCAGCAUUUUCACCCAAUGUUGUCAUCUCCAGAGUUCAUGCUUGAGAAGCACACAAUCAAAUCAUACAUACAAAAAGUGUUUUAAGUAACUUUAUGAUUUUGUGUUAGCCUAUAUUCACAGCUAUCCUGUGCUAAAUGCAGCCUGUCAGUCAUGAGUUAAAUAUACGUGGGAAGAAAUAGGCAAGAGAGGAGUCUAUGGGUAGGCACCCACACAAUAGAAGAGGACCUAGCUAGAGAUGGAGGAGUCCCAUGGUUGUCCUACUUAGAGUAAUUUCUCCAGCUUAAGUGCUUCCCCCCAUCUCAUUAGACAUACAGGAAGGUAGCUUGCAUAGGAUCAUGGAUGACAUUAGUGUGUUCUACAAUGCUGUUGAAAAGAACUUCUCAGAACACUGCCCUGUCUAGAGCAAUGUAGAAGAGCAAAUGCUGAGAAGUCAGGGUAGAAAGGCAGGGCAAAUUAUGGAAACCCAGAAAUGUCCACCCAUAGAUAUUCGAAUGGUGAUUUAAAAAAAAAAAAAGAGGUACCUCACUCCUGGACAACUAUCAUCAUAGCCCUAAUGGCUUGUAAUGAAUUCAAGACUCAGAAAAACAUUAAUUUUUGAGGGUUAUAAAUUUCCUUUUUGGUGUUUUAACUGUUCAAAGUUUAAAGAAUCUUGCUCUAUGUACUAUUGUUAUCACUAAAGACCGCUAUGUUCUUUUCUAUUUCUUCAAUUGCAAUUUUCAAUAAACGCAACAAGCUUUUAAAUAA